rnacentral:rRNA from 1 species
AUCAACUUUCGAUGGUAGGAUAGAGGCCUACCAUGGUGGUAACGGGUAACGGGGUGUUAGGGCACGACACCGGAGAGGGAGCNUGAGAAACGGCUACCACAUCCAAGGAUGGCAGCAGGCGCGCAAAUUACCCAAUCCCGACACGGGGAGGUAGUGACAAUAAAUAACAAUACGGGGUUCUUUCGGAUUUCGUAAUUGGAAUGAGUACAAUUUAAAUCUCUUAACGAGGAACAAUUGGAGGGCAAGUCUGGUGCCAGCAGCCGCGGUAAUUCCAGCUCCAAUAGCGUAUAUUAAAGUUGUUGCAGUUAAAAAGCUCGUAGUUGAAUUUCGGGGUUAGUAGAUUGGUCAUGCCUCUGGUAUGCACUGGUCUCACUGAUUCCUCCUUCCUGAUGAGCCGUAAUGCCAUUAAUUUGGUGUUGCGGGGAAUUUGGACUGUUACUUUGAAAAAAUUAGAGUGUUUAAAGCAAGCUAACGCUUGAAUACAUUAGCAUGGAAUAAUGAAAUAGGACGUUCGAUCCUAUUUUGUUGGUUUCUAGGAUUGACGUAAUGAUUAAUAGGGAUAGUUGGGGGCAUUAGUAUUCAAUUGUCAGAGGUGAAAUUCUUGGAUUUAUUGAAGACUAACUACUGCGAAAGCAUUUGCCAAGGAUGUUUUCAUUAAUCAAGAACGAAAGUUAGGGGAUCGAAGACGAUCAGAUACCGUCGUAGUCUUAACCAUAAACUAUGCCGACUAGGGAUCGGAUGAUGUCAAUUUUUUAAUGACUCAUUCGGCGCCUUACGGGAAACCAAAGUGUUUGGGUUC